AUUGAACGCUGGCGGAAUGCUUUACACAUGCAAGUCGAACGGCAGCACGGGAGCUUGCUCCUGGUGGCGAGUGGCGAACGGGUGAGUAACAUAUCGGAACGUACCCAGUCGUGGGGGAUAACUAUCCGAAAGGAUAGCUAAUACCGCAUACGUCCUGAGGGAGAAAGCGGGGGAUCGCAAGACCUCGCGCGAUUGGAGCGGCCGAUAUCGGAUUAGCUAGUUGGUGGGGUAAAGGCUCACCAAGGCGACGAUCCGUAGCGGGUCUGAGAGGACGACCCGCCACACUGGAACUGAGACACGGUCCAGACUCCUACGGGAGGCAGCAGUGGGGAAUUUUGGACAAUGGGGGGCAACCCUGAUCCAGCCAUUCCGCGUGAGUGAAGAAGGCCUCGGUU
rnacentral:rRNA from 1 species